rnacentral:misc_RNA from 1 species
UUUCCUAGUGUAAAUGUUUUUUGGAGGUGCCAAUUUAUCGCUCAUGCAUCAAAUGUGUCAUUGCGGCAUUGGCAGCAAAUGGGUGGAGUAAACAUCAAUGAGGACAUUAUAAUAGACAAAUCCAUUCACAAAUCUAUUAAUGCUCGGUCCNNNNNNNNNNNUGUUGAAGAGAUACAUGGCCGAUAUUGGAAAGGCAUGGCCUGUGUUGAUUGUCUGUGGGGGACUCUUGCCACUGUUUUUAUCAGUGAUUUGGCUGCUGAUGAUUCGGCAUUUUGUUGGUGCAAUGCCUUGGAUAACAGUUGCUCUCUUUGAUAUUCUCAUGAUAAAUAUCAGUAACAAUGUUUUACUACUUGAAAGCUGGAUGGAUUGGUAAUGAUGCUAUCUCUCCCAUCAUCGGUGAGCAUGAUCCAUACUACCAUGUAUCUGGACGGGAACUAAAUCAUCUUCGUGCUGUUGCUGUUAUCAUGACUUUUAUAAUGGUUGUUGCUGUCCUUACGUCAAUUGCCAUUGUGCGUCGUAUUCUUAUGGCAACAUCUGUCCUCAAGGUAGCUGCAAAGGUCGUGGGAGAAGUUCAAGCGCUCAUAAUUUUUCCAUUUAUACCAUAUGCUGUCCUUGCAAUCUUUUAUAUGUUCUGGUUUUCGGCUGCUUUUCAUCUUUUUAGUUCUGGCCAAAUUGUCCAAAAUGACUGCAAUUCCAACUGCUGUGCCUAUGAUCUUGGGUCAAAACGGGUUAACUGUGAUCGUUGCUGUGGCUAUAGCAUCCAUUAUACUCCUCAUAUAGCAGUUGCCAUCUUUUUCCACCUGUUUGGAUGUUACUGGGCUACACAAUUUUUUAUAGCAUGCUCUGCUACUGUAAUUGCUGGUUCUGUUGCCUCCUACUACUGGGCUC